UACGUAGGGUGCGAGCGUUAUCCGGAAUUACUGGGCGUAAAGAGCUCGUAGGUGGUUUGUCGCGUUGUUCGUGAAAUCCCACGGCUUAACUGUGGGCGUGCGGGCGAUACGGGCAGACUGGAGUACUGCAGGGGAGACUGGAAUUCCUGGUGUAGCGGUGGAAUGCGCAGAUAUCAGGAGGAAGACCAGUGGCGAAGGCGGAUCUCUGGACAGCUCCUGACGCUGAGGCGCGAAGGCUAGGGGAGCAAACGGG
rnacentral:rRNA from 1 species